ensembl:lncRNA
GUUCGAGACCAAAUAUGAAGAACUGGAUUUCAUCAGCGGGGGAGGAUGUGGAUCAGUGUACGCCGGCUUCCGCAGAGCCGACGACCUCCACGUUGCCAUCAAACACAUCCUGAAUGAAAUGAUCCUCAUCAAACAUGACGACGAAGAAGGGAACGUGAUCUCCAUCGAGGUCGCCAUCAUGCUGAAGCUGGCCGAAUCAGAGGGGCCAUCGCCACACGUUGCCUUGCUUGACUGGUACCAGUUGGAAGAAGAGCUGGUGCUGGUGAUGGAGAGGCCGAUGCCUGCUGAGGAUUUCCAUGACUACCUCAGAGAACAAGGAGGCUACAUAAAAGAAGAUGAAGCCAAGAUCCUACUGAGGCAGCUGGUCAAUGCGGCGCUCGAUCUAGAGAGCAAGAACAUUUUCAUCUCUCUGCAGAUUUCCAGCCGACUCCAGAACAGCUCACGAUUCACUGGAUCAGAAGAGGACGUGAGGAACUACAUCAUUCAUUCAUCAUUCAUCAUUGUAAGAAUUAUAAUAAAC